AAGUAUUGCAGUUCUUUUAGAAUUUGUCUAGCAAAUUCUGGUUUUCACUGGAAAAUCCCC
ensembl:snRNA U7 U7 small nuclear RNA